rnacentral:rRNA from 1 species
AUUGAACGCUGGCGGCAGGCCUAACACAUGCAAGUCGAGCGAGCGGCGGACGGGUGAGUAAUGUAUGGGAAUCUGCCUGAUGGAGGGGGAUAACUACUGGAAACUGUAGCUAAUACCGCAUACCAUCAGAUGACCCCAUGUGGGAUUAGCUUGUGGGUGGGGUAACGGCUUACCUAGGCGACGAUCCCUAGCUGGUCUGAGAGGAUGAUCAGCCACACUGGGACUGAGACACGGCCCAGACUCCUACGGGAGGCAGCAGUGGGGAAUAUUGCACAAUGGGCGCAAGCCUGAUACAGCCAUGCCGCGUGUAUGAAGAAGGCCUUCGGGUUGUAAAGUACUUUCAGUGGGGAGGCGUUACCGACAGAAGAAGCACCGGCUAACUCCGUGCCAGCAGCCGCGGUAAUAC